rnacentral:rRNA from 16 species
GUAAGUUCCGACCUGCACGAAUGGUGCAACGAUCUGGACACUGUCUCAGCCAUGAGCUCGGUGAAAUUGUAGUAUCGGUGAAGAUGCCGAUUACCCGCAGCGGGACGAAAAGACCCCGUGAACCUUUACUAUAGCUUCGUAUUGACUUUGGAUAAGUAAUGUGUAGGAUAGGUGGGAGACUAUGAAAUGGCGUCGCUAGGCGUUGUGGAGUCGUUGUUGAAAUACCACCCUUUGCUUAUCUGAAGCCUAACCUCUAACGAGGAACAGUGCGUGGUGGGUAGUUUGACUGGGGUGGUCGCCUCCAAAAGAGUAACGGAGGCUUCUAAAGGUUCCCUCAGCACGCUUGGUAACCGUGCGUAGAGUGCAAUGGCAUAAGGGAGCUUGACUGAGAGACAUACAGGUCGAUCAGGUACGAAAGUAGAGCAUAGUGAUCCGGUGGUUCCGCAUGGAAGGGCCAUCGCUCAAAGGAUAAAAGGUACUCCGGGGAUAACAGGCUUAUCU